UGUGUGUGUGUGUGUGUGUGUGUGUAUGUGCGCGUGUGAGUAAUACCGUGUGAGUGUACGAGGAGACGCGUGUGCAUGUGUCGUUUGCACGUCGGUUGGUGUUUCAGUUGUGUUUGUUUUCAUGGUGGAAGCUGUGGAAUCACAAACCCUCGGGGGGGAAUUAAAUGUUGGACCUUCGUAAGUUGUUCCUUUGUCGUAGUAGAAGACACACAUACACACGUUUGCACACAAACACACACACACACUCACACACUCACACAACGCAGGCCUGAGGAGCAUCUUCAAUAAUCUCGAUAAGGAAUCAGCCACAUUUAACCUCGUCCACCUGUGCUGUAUCAGUGGUCAUGUUGUGACCCUUGUGCAGCCUUAAGCUCUGCCUCAGACACUGACUGCGGCCACUGGAAGUUAACACCUGAACGAAAAGUAAUGCCGAACAUGAAAAAAAUCCCACACAAAUCACAUCCAUAUUGCCAUUUAGCCUUUUUCUCAGGUUUGAAACAUGCAAUCUCAUGCACAUUGCAAACGAAUUGCCAGGUGCCCUCUGCCUUUCUGUGU